AUUGAACGCUGGCGGCACGCUUAACACAUGCAAGUCGAGCGGUAACAUGGGUAGUAGCAAUACUAUCUGAUGACGAGCGGCGGACGGGUGAGUAACACGUAGGAACUUGCCCAGUAGUGGGGGACAACCAAGGGAAACUUUGGCUAAUACCGCAUAUACUCGAGAGAGGAAAGCUGCCAGCAAUGGUGGCGCUAUUGGAGAGGCCUGCGUCCGGUUAGCUAGUUGGUGAGGUAAUAGCUUACCAAGGCGAGGAUCGGUAACCGGUCUGAGAGGGCGACCAGUCAAACUGGGACUGAGACACGGACCAGACUACUACGGGAGGCAGCAGUGGGGAAUCUUGGACAAUGGGGGCAACCCUGAUCCAGCGAUGCCGCGUGAGUGAAGAAGGCCUUCGGGUCGUAAAGCUCUUUAGGCUGGGAAGAAGGUUAGUAGUUUAAGAGAUAACUAGCUUGACUGUACCAGCAGAAUAAGCACCGGCAAACUCUGUGCCAGCCGCCGCCGUAA
rnacentral:rRNA from 1 species